rnacentral:miRNA from 1 species
UGAACAAGAAAUCUCGGUGGG